rnacentral:rRNA from 1 species
UACGUAGGUGGCAAGCGUUGUCCGGAAUUAUUGGGCGUAAAGCGCGCGCAGGCGGUCCUUUUAAGUCUGAUGUGAAAGCCCACGGCUCAACCGUGGAGGGUCAUUGGAAACUGGGGGACUUGAGUGCAGAAGAGGAAAGCGGAAUUCCACGUGUAGCGGUGAAAUGCGUAGAGAUGUGGAGGAACACCAGUGGCGAAGGCGGCUUUCUGGUCUGUAACUGACGCUGAGGCGCGAAAAGCGUGGGGAGCAAACAGG